UAAGACCAUAGUCAAAUAUAUGACGUAUGAGUUGCAUUCAUAAAGAGUUUCAAAAACUGGUUUUAAC
rnacentral:tRNA from 1 species